GCCGGGCUAGCUCAGUUGGUUAGAGCGUUGGAUUCAUAACCCAGAGGUCACCAGUUCGAUCCUGGUGCCCGGCA
rfam:Emiliania huxleyi CCMP1516 EMIHTscaffold_9_Cont473, whole genome shotgun sequence.